rnacentral:rRNA from 1 species
CAGGCCUAACCAUGCAAGUCGAAGGAUAAGCUAACUUCUGAUUCCUUCGGGAUGAUGAGUUGGCAGAAAGUGGCGAACGGGUGAGUAACGCGUGGGUAAUCUACCCUGAAGUGGGGGAUAACCCUCCGAAAGGAGGGCUAGUACCGCAUAAUAUCUUUCCUCUAAAGAAUAGAAGAUUAAAGAUGGCCUCUAUACUAUGCUAUCACUCAGGAUGAUCCUGCGUCCUAUUAGUUAGUUGGUGGGGUAAUGGCCUACAAGACCACAAUGGGUAGCCGGUCUGAGAGGAUGUACGGCCACACUGGGUUGAGAUACGGCCCAUACUCCUACGGGAGGCAGCAGUGGGGAAUAUUGCGAAUGGGGGAAACCCUGACACAGGGACGCCGCGUGGAUGAUGAAGGCC